GACGAACGCUGGCGGCGUGCUUAACACAUGCAAGUCGAACGAUGAACCCGGAGCUUGCUCCGGUGGAUUAGUGGCGAACGGGUGAGUAACACGUGAGUAACCUGCCCUUGACUCUGGGAUAACUGCGGGAAACCGUAGCUAAUACCGGAUACGACCCUCGGCGGCAUCGCCAGGGGGUGGAAAGCAGUCCGGUCAAGGGUGGACUCGCGGCCUAGCAGCUAGUUGGUGAGGUAACGGCUCACCAAGGCGACGACGGGUAGUCGGCCUGCGAGGGUGACCGGCCACACUGGGACUGAGACACGGCCCAGACUCCUACGGGAGGCAGCAGUGGGGAAUAUUGCACAAUGGGCGCAAGCCUGAUGCAGCAACGCCGCGUGAGGGAUGACGGCCUUCGGGUUGUAAACCUCUUUUAGUAGGGAAGAAGCGAAAGUGACGGUACCUGCAGAAAAAGCACCGGCUAACUACGUGCCAGCCGCCGCCGUAA
rnacentral:rRNA from 1 species